rnacentral:rRNA from 1 species
UACGAAAGGGGCUAGCGUUGCUCGGAAUCACUGGGCGUAAAGCGCACUAGGCGGCUUACUAAGUCAGGGGUGAAAAUCCUGGAGCUCAACUCCAGUAACUGCCCUUUUGAUACUGGUGAGCUUGAGUCCGGAAGAGGUGAGUGGAACUGCGAGUGUAGAGGUGAAAUUCGUAGAUAUUCGCAAGAACACCAGUGGCGAAGGCGGCUCACUGGUCCGGUACUGACGCUGAGGUGCGAAAGCGUGGGGAGCAAACAGGAU